GCAGCCUGCAACUCGGCUGCAUGAAGCUGGAAUCGCUAGUAAUCGCGAAUCAGAAUGUCGCGGUGAAUACGUUCCCGGGUCUUGUACACACCGCCCGUCACACCAUGGGAGUUGGAAAUGCCCGAAGUCAGUGACCCAACCGGAAGGAGGGAGCUGCCGAAGGCAGGUCUGAUAACUGGGGUGAAGUCGUAACAAGGUAAC
rnacentral:rRNA from 1 species